rnacentral:misc_RNA from 1 species
CCGAGUUUACAACUCCCAAACCCCUGUGAACAUACCUUAUGUUGCCUCGGCGGAUCAGCCCGCGCCCGUAAAACGGGACGGCCCGCCAGAGGAACCCUAAACUCUGUUUCUAUAGUGGAACUUCUGAGUAUAAAACCAUAAUAAAUCA